ACCAUAGAAUAAGAAAUGAAUAGAAGGGCAACUGAGUGUCGGAUCCUUUGAAGUUGGUGUCCUCGCGCAUGUCGUGUCGCGCAUACCGGAAAUUCGACGGCCGCCAUUACUCUGGCCAGUAACCUGCUGCCAGAAUAAAUAUAAAUUGUAUUGAGCGAGGGUUAUAUUUUCGUUUUAAAAGCAUACCGUGGGAGUUUAUGUUCAAAAUUUUGGUUUUAAUGACCAGAGCAUUCAAGGAG